ACUAAGUGAUAUCAGAUACGCAAGGUAGGAAUCGUACCUAGCUAGAUCUUGGCCUCGCAGCAUUGUGGUGAUGUCCGGUGACAACAACACCCCUCCAUACUUCAGCCCACAGUUAGCACAGGGAUCGCAGAACUCGAGAGCUCCGUUCUCUUUGUCCUAGUUUGAGAUGGGUAGUUUAUCUAGAGGGACAAACAAUAGCCAGACGAGCCAGCCGGCCAGAUAUUCGCAUGGACCACCAAGACGCCAAGUACCCAACAGGGACGAGAGGAUGCUCCCAGUGACUGCGAGGCAGCUCAUGGAAGCUGCGAUGCUAACACAUACAUCGCACCCUCCCGAGAUAUCAGUUGUACAUUCUGCAAGGCAGUUGGUAGGAAUGAUGUGGAACCUUAUUACGGAUCCAGCGAAGGCCACGUUUCUGUUGAAUGACUGCACAGGCGCAGUUAAAUGCACAUACUGGAUGACCGGUCUCCAGAUGGAUUACGACAUCAGUACCAUUGGUGAAGGAGACUAUGUCGAGAUUUUUGGUUGGCCGGAAGUGAAUGAUUCGGUUCGUCACCUUACGGUAUUCAGUUGCAGGAAUGUCACAAACUACAAUCUUAUAACACAACACUUCUUGUACUGCAUAUACACACAUCUCGACCUACGGAGGGUAACCAUAAUAUCACAUGUUUUCAGUUAUUUUUUAAGGGAUUACACUAACCCUGCUUGCAUCGUUUUUAAUAUGGAUUGUUGUGAAGCCCCCGCCAGCGCCGACACCACAGCUCAUCAAGGAGGUGUACAACAUCAUACGCGACUACACGGACCAGGGGUUAGAGUAAUGGAAACCUGGUUCGCAAUCACGUUGGCUCUGUACUGACGUGUACCUUUUUUUUAUUUUCCGGUGCUUACUCGUGAUCGUGGAAUCAUCGUUGCAGCGACCCUGGACUAAGUUUUAGGUUCAUCAGGAACAGAGUAGUUGGCCAUGCGGAAUCUGUCGUGAGGGUACUACAGGUCAUUGGAGAGGAUAGAUAUAUCCUUGCUUUCCGCACAUGACGGGGAAUGCUACGCAAUAAUACGUUUGUCCG